CACAAUCUUCUUCAGUGCUCUCUUCUCUCUCUUCUCUCAGAUUUAUACUGAGUCACAUGAUUGCAAGAUGUCAUAGAGAAUACAGUCUUUUCUUCACUCUUCUCUUUAUUUUUCUUUUCAGAACACUCUUUUUUUCUCUUUUCUUUUAUCUAUCUCAUCUGUCUUUUCUCUGCUGUUAGAAGCACAGACAGUUCUCAGAUCAACUGAGAAAGUUAUCUCUCUUCAUUCACUAUAAAGUUUUUCAGACACAGCAGCAGUGGUUCUCUCAGAAACCACACUAUAGUUUCAUCAUGAAUGACCAUACAUC
rnacentral:sRNA from 1 species